rnacentral:rRNA from 1 species
AACGAACGCUGGCGGCAUGCCUAACACAUGCAAGUCGAACGAGACCUUCGGGUUUAGUGGCUCACGUGUUCGUAACGCGUUGGAUCCUGCCCUUAUGUUCUGAAUAUCUCCCUGAAAUGGGUGCUAAUACCUGAUAAUAUUUUCGGACCAAAGAUUGUUCGCCUUUGGAUGGGGUCGCGUUGGAUUAGCUUGUUGGUAGGGUAAAAGCCUGCCAAGGCGACGAUCCAUAGCUGGUCUGAGAGGAGGAUCAGCCACACUGGAGAUAAGACACGGACCAGACUCGUACGGAAGGGAGGAGAGGAGAGUAUUGGAGGAGGGGGGAAGGUCUGAUGAAGCAAUGCCGGGGAAGAGAGGAAGGGGUUAGGGUUGUAAAGCUAGUUUAGAAGGGAUGAUAAUGACAGUACCGGGAGAAUAAGCUCCGGCUAACUACGUG